rnacentral:rRNA from 1 species
GACGAACGCUGGCGGCGUGCUUAAUACAUGCAAGUCUAAGGGUUUAUCUUCCUUCGGGAAGAUAGACACUGGCGCACGGGUGAGUAACACGUAAGUCAUCUGCCCUUGGGUCUGGCACAACUCCGGGAAACCGGGGCUAAUUCCAGAUGAUACCGAAAGGUCAAAGUUUCGACGCCCAAGGAUGAGCUUGCGUCUGAUUAGCUAGUUGGCGGGGGUAAUGGCCCACCAAGGCGACGAUCAGUAGCCGGUCUGAGAGGAUGAUCGGCCACAUUGGGACUGAGACACGGCCCAGACUCCUACGGGAGGCAGCAGUAAGGAAUAUUGCGCAAUGGACGAAAGUCUGACGCAGCAACGCCGCGUGCAGGAUGACGGCCCUUUGGGUUGUAAACUGCUGUAGCAGGGGAAUAAGAGCCCACUCGGUGGGUGUGAAGGUACCCUGAAAGUAAGCUCCGGCUAACUACGUGCCAGCAGCCGCCGCAGUAAC